rnacentral:lncRNA from 1 species
AAAUAAUACUUUUAUCUUCUUAAUUUAAAAUUUCUCCUACAUAUCGAGCGAUUUUACAAAUUUAAAAUGUAUAUUUUAUGUUUUAAUUUAUUUUUUCCAAUAAAUGAGUUUAGAUAUUCAAAUGUAUUAAUAUAUUCGAAUAUCUAUAAAUAUAUUGUAUGUAUAUACAGUAUAUUAGCGAGUUUGUAUUAUCAAAGAUAAUAUUUUCUCUAUUACUUCUUUAGAGUGAUGAUGUGCUGGAACCUAAGGUAAAUGUGAUAGUUAUAUUAAGUAAAUAUGAUGUUGACAACUGCUGAAGGAUCGACGCAAUAGCGAGAGGUGACUGACGAUUUUAAUAAAAUACUGCCUUUAAAUGAAAUUUGUAACAUUGGGAUCAUAUAGAAUUUUAGAUCAAGACAAACAAACAAACAAACAAACACAAACACACAAACACACACACACACACAUACACAUACACCAUUUACACACACACACACACACACACACACACACACACACACACCAUUUACACACGUACACGUUCACCUACACAUGUACACAUACGUAUACACACACUCUUACACAUAUACACACACAUAUACAUAUGUAUACAUACAUAUAUAUAUAUAUAUAUAAAUAAUGCUCAAUUGUUAAGUUAUAGAAACG